GGCAGCCCUGGGUUGCGCGCGCAUCCAGACAGCCUCUCCAUUACCUCAACAUUGCAAUCCGCGGUGGCGCUGCUGACGUCAUCUUUAAUCAGAAAAAUAUGCGGGUUCUUCGGAGCAGCAAGCCACGCUCCUACAACUCCUCAAACUCCUGCAAAUCAAGUGUCAACAAACAGCGUCCGUUCAAAGCGCCGCUUCCUGACCUGAAAAAUAUGCGGGUUCUUCGGAGCAGCAAGCCACGCUCCU